GCGCCAAGUUCAGGGAGAGACCUUGACUCAGAAACUAAGGUGGAAGGUAAGAAUAACCUCUAUAGGGGUUGGUUCUGAUGCUCUGAUCGGAAAUGAAUGCUGAAGGUCCUGUUCCCCAGUUGGUUCUUGAUUGAUCAAUAAAGAUGCUAGCAGCCAAUGGUUGGACAGAAGAGGCAGGACUGCUGAGCUAUGACUAAAGUUGCCACAUUUUGUGGCAUCAUGACUGCUGCCCUCUGGCCUCUGGUGAAGCCUGAGAUCAUCAAAAAGAGGACCAAGAAGUUCCUCUCACUCCAGUCAGACUGAUAUGUCAAAAUUAAGAGGAACUGGCAGAAACCCAGAGGUAUCAGCAAUAGAGUACAGAGAAAAAUUCAAGGGCCAGAUCCUGAUGCCGAACAUUGGUUACCAUGGCAACAAGAAAGCCA
ensembl:lncRNA